UGAGCUCAAAUUUAAAAUCUGGCAGUUUCACUGUCCGAGUUGUAAUCUAGAGAAGCAUUUUCCGUGUUGGACCGUGUACAAGUCUCUUGGAAUAGAGCGUCAUAGAGGGUGAGAAUCCCGUCCAUGGCACGGACUACCAAUACUUUGUGAUAUGCUCUCAAAGAGUCGAGUUGUUUGGGAAUGCAGCUCAAAACGGGUGGUAAGUUCCAUCUAAAGCUAAAUAUUGGCGAGAGACCGAUAGCGAA
rnacentral:rRNA from 1 species